rnacentral:tRNA from 1 species
GGGGAUAUAGCUCAGCUGGGAGAGCGCUGCCUUGCACGCAGGAGGUCAGCGGUUCGAUCCCGCUUAUCUCCACCA